UACGUAGGGUGCGAGCGUUGUCCGGAAUUAUUGGGCGUAAAGGGCUCGUAGGCGGUUUGUCGCGUCGGGAGUGAAAUCCACUGGCUUAACUGGUGGCUUGCUUUCGAUACGGGCAGACUGGAGGUAUGCAGGGGAGAACGGAAUUCCUGGUGUAGCGGUGAAAUGCGCAGAUAUCAGGAGGAACACCGGUGGCGAAGGCGGUUCUCUGGGCAUGUCCUGACGCUGAGAAGCGAAAGUGUGGGGAGCGAACAGG
rnacentral:rRNA from 1 species